rnacentral:lncRNA from 10 species
CAGCAAUACGUACUACCCCCCAAAAUCUAAUAAUGCAAAAUAUUUGGGGAAAUAGGUUUUAAGCUUCACAUGUAUGAAAUUGUCUUAAAUGUUAAGCCCAAAAGAUAAUGAUGAUUUUAUAUCCACGAGUUAAGUCAUAAGAAAGUAAAUUAUUUUUUGUUCAAAAGAAAGGAGUGUGUGUGGAUGGACACACACACAAAAGGAAGAAAGGAGAAAGGUGAGGGGGAAUGAAUGGAUCAAUAAAAAAAAAACAGCCCCAGAAAGCACAAUACUAGUCUUUAUAAAGCUGAACCAUGAACUUGAAGAAAAGAUGCACAGGUGAGAAAAAUCAUUCUUUAAAUGCUUUCAGUAGAAGCGGAAAAAAAAAUUCGAGUUAUUGCUAUUUUAUAUGACUCAUAGCAACUUAGUUUACACUGUGGAGGACAGUAUAGCUCCCUACUUCAAUCUUAGGUCAAAUUUCUACCCAGAAAAUGUCUUGAACUUGUCUUCACCCUUCCAUUUCUACUGCCAAUACUCAUAAAGUCCUUAAAUUAGUUCUUAUUUCAAUAGGUUCUAAGUGUCGUAACUAGUCUGUCUCUAGCGUCUUAUUCUUCCGAUCUUUUCUCAAACUCGUAAUCAAAGUUAUCUUUCUUAUGUCUAUUACCUUGAUUGUGUUGAUAGUUUUACAGGUAUGUGCAUAUGUCCAAACUCAGCAAUUGUAUGUGUAGUUUAUUAUAUAUCAACUAUACCUCAAUAAAGUUGUUUUCUUAAAAAGCAAAGUUAUCUUUCUACAACACAUAUCCAAUCACAUCCCUCUCCUCGAAAACCUUCAGUUGAAGACAUGUAGUCCAGACUUCUCAGCAUGACAUACAAGGUCCUUCCAGCCUCAGCUCCCACAGGCCUGCAUAUUAGAAAAGGCAUCAAUCAUGGAAAAUGCCAGGACUUUCAUAUCGCCAUGCCUUUGUUUAGAUUGUUCUCUCUCUGGAAUACCCAUUCUAAUCUCUUUUCCAUCCAACCAAACCCUACUCGUUCUUCAAAGCCCAUAUCUUCAACAUUAUAAGCUUUUCCUGAUUCUUUCCACAUACCCUCAAUCCAUUGAUAUUAAACC